ensembl:lncRNA
AUGGCGCUACAACACAGGGACAUUGUGUUAGCUUAUCUAGUUUCUCUGGGGUUGAGACUCAACACCGAGGAGAGUGUUCUCUGUCCGGCCCAGAGAACGACUUAUCACAGGAUCGUUUGGGAUUCGAUCACGAUGCGGGCACAACUGUCUCCCGCUCGGAUCGAGACCAUUCAGCAGACCAUGAGCAAGGUCAGGCUAGGCCAGGAUCGCACUGUUCGUCAGUAUCAAAAGAUGUUAGGUUUCAUGGCUUCAGCAUCCACGGUGAUUCCUUUGGGGCUGUUGCACAUGAGACCGUUUCAGUUGUGGCUAAAAGCCAGAGGAUUUCAUCCAAGAGCCAAUCCUCAAAGGCAAAUAAAAGUGAUGCGCCGCAGGCUUCGUACACUAUCUCUGUGGCUCAGACCCCGGUUCCUUGCCUUGGGUCCCACUCUAGGGGCACCGUGUCGUCGCAGACUGCUAACGACAGAUGCCUCCCUGAUGGGCUGGGGAGCAGUCUUGGAUGGCCACCCAGCUCAAGGGGAAUGGGGGGGUCAUCAGCUCGAUUGGCACAUCAAUUGCCUCGAGCUGAUGGCUGUAUUUCUGGCUCUGAAAUGUUUCCUCCAUCAUUUGAGAGGCUGUCAUGUCCUAGUACGGGUGGACAACACAGCAACAGUCUCUUAUAUAAAUCACCAGGGGGGUCUGCGCUCAUGCAAUCUGAACAAGAUAGCGAGGCAGAUUUUUCUUUGGGCCCAGGACAAGCUCCUGUCACUCAGGGCAGUGUACAUUCCGGGGCGUUUGAAUGUGGGAGCGGAUUUACUGUCCAGACAGACACUACCGACAGGGGAAUGGAAACUCCACCCAGAGGUAGUGAAACAGAUUUGGGGAAAAUUUUACGAAGCAGAGGUGGACCUCUUCGCCUCCCAUCAGACAGCGCAAUGUCCCCUCUACUUCUCUCUGAGUCACCCAGCCCCCCUGGGUCUGGAUGCGAUGGCGCACACAUGGCCCAAAAUGCGCCUGUAUGCGUUUCCUCCAGUUUCUCUGCUCCCGGGAGUCCUAGCCAGAGUUCGCCAACAAGGGUCUUGCCUCUUGCUGAUAGCGCCACAUUGGCCGAACAGAGUAUGGUUCUCGGAGAUAAUAUCUCUCCUCGACGGCUCGCCAUGGGCGAUUCCGGAGAGGAGGGACCUUCUGUCUCAGGCAGGGGGCACGAUAUUCCAUCCCAGGCCCGACCUGUGGAAUCUUCAUGUUUGGCCCCUGAGGAACACAGGGCUUUCGCCGGGUGUUAUUGAUACCAUUCUUAGUGCUAGGGCUUCCUCCACCAGACAGAGUUAUGCCAGUAAAUGGGGUGUCUUUGACAGGUGGUGUGUGGUGCACAAUGUAGAUCCAGUCAACUGCCAUAUUGCUUCAGUUCUGGACUUCAUGCAAGAGAAAUUGUCAACAGGCACAUGCCCUGCUACUCUUAAGGUUUAUGUGGCCGCUCUUUCGGCUUGCCACGCCUUGAUUGACGGGAUGCCACUCGGGAGACACCCUCUGCUCUCUCGCUUUCUUCGUGGGGCCAGACGACUGAGGCCUACAGUAAAAACCAAGAUGCCUUCUUGGGACUUAGCUAUAGUUCUCGAGGGUCUGGUUGAAACCCCCUCUGAACCUUUAGAGUCAGCGUCUGAUAGACUUCUUACUCUAAAAAUGUUUUUUCUCAUGGCAAUAACUUCUUUGAAGAGAAUUGGGGAUAUGCAGGCUCUGUCUAUCUCACCAUCAUGCUUAGACUUUGCCCCAGGGAGCGUGAAAGUGAUUCUGCAUCCUCAUCCUGAUUACCUGCCUAAGGUUCCGUUUUCGGCUGUACAUCCGGUCAUUCUAGAGGCCUUCUGCCCUCCGCCGUUCACAACGCCGGAGCAGGAGAAAUCUUAUAGACUGUGUCCAGUCCGUGCUCUUCAGACUUACGUCCACCGCACUAGCCAGUGGCGUAAGUCGGAGCAACUGUUCAUCUGUUAUGGUGGUGGUAAUAGAGGAGCAGCUGCCACCAGGCAGACCAUGUCUCACUGGGUCAGGGAUGCUAUUGCUUUGGCUUAUGAGGCGCGCGGUCAAGCUUCGCCUAUAGGUCUUAGAGCUCACUCCACAAGGGGGGUCGCCUCCUCUAGUGCUUUAGCAAGGGGUGCCCCCUUACAACAGGUUUGUGAUGCGGCAGGUUGGUCCUCUCCGCACACAUUCGUAAGAUUUUAUAGUUUGGAUGUCCAUGCUACUCCGGGCUCUCAUGUCCUUGAGUCAACAUCACAAGCUAAUGUCUGA